rnacentral:rRNA from 1 species
GACGAACGCUGGCGGCGUGCUUAACACAUGCAAGUCGAACGAAGUGGCGAACGGGUGAGUAACGCGUAAUCAACCUGCCCUUCUGAGGGGGACAACAGUUGGAAACGACUGCUAAUACCGCAUACUGAAGGAGGGGAUUGCGUCUGCUUAGCUAGUUGGUGGGGUAACGGCCCACCAAGGCGAUGUUCAGUAGCCGGUGUUGGAGGGUGAACGGGAAAAAUGGGAAUGAGAAACGGGCCAGAAUGCUACGGGAGGCAGGAGGGGGGAAUCUUCCGGAAUGGAGGGAAAGUCGAAGGGGCAACGGCGCGGGAAGGAUAACGGGUUUCGGGUUGGAAAGCUUUGGUAAUCGGGGCGCGGUACCGGAAUAGAAAGCCACGGCUAACUACGUGCCAGCAGCCGCGGUAAUAC